rfam:Helianthus annuus linkage group 1, whole genome shotgun sequence.
AUUGACUGUGAUGAGCCCAAUACAGACCUGUAAUGAUUUGCGAAAAUGAUCGCAUUUUAUGAACAUCUAAGGGACUGAGUCAUA